rnacentral:rRNA from 1 species
GUAGGUGGCAAGCGUUGUCCGGAAUUAUUGGGCGUAAAGCGCGCGCAGGCGGUUUUUUAAGUCUGAUGUGAAAGCCCACGGCUCAACCGUGGAGGGUCAUUGGAAACUGGAGAACUUGAGUACAGAAGAGGAAAGCGGAAUUCCACGUGUAGCGGUGAAAUGCGUAGAGAUGUGGAGGAACACCAGUGGCGAAGGCGGCUUUCUGGUCUGUAACUGACGCUGAGGCGCGAAAGCGUGGGGAGCAAACAGGAUUAGAUACCCUGGUAGUCCACGCCGUAAACGAUGAGUGCUAAGUGUUAGGGGGGUUUCCGCCCCCCUUAGUGCUGCAGCUAACGCAUUAAGCACUCCGCCUGGGAGUACGGCCGCAAGGCUG